GUGCUGGCUUGGGCAGCGCACAUACUAAAAUUGGAACGAUAUGGAGAAGAUUAGUGUGGCCCUUGUGCAAGGGUGACAUGUAGAUUCGUGAAGCUUCCGGAUUUUUU
ensembl:snRNA U6 U6 spliceosomal RNA